rnacentral:ncRNA from 1 species
UACGUUCUGCCACCGGGUAGAGAAAAUGCGAAAGCAUUCGUUUGUCCAUCGUUAGGUCUUAGAAGAUGGGCAAAAACGAAUGCUUUUUUUGU